UACGUAGGGUGCAAGCGUUGUCCGGAAUUAUUGGGCGUAAAGAGCUCGUAGGCGGUGUGUCGCGUCGGCCGUGAAAACCUGCAGCUUAACUGUGGGCUUGCGGUCGAUACGGGCAUCACUGGAGUUCGGCAGGGGAGACUGGAAUUCCUGGUGUAGCGGUGAAAUGCGCAGAUAUCAGGAGGAACACCGGUGGCGAAGGCGGGUCUCUGGGCCGAUACUGACGCUGAGGAGCGAAAGCGUGGGGAGCGGACAGG
rnacentral:rRNA from 1 species